UGACCCCACGGCGCCGGGCGGCCUCGUGGCUUCUCAGUUCUGGCCGCCAUAUGCCCGCCCACCAACCUACGCCUUCCAGCCAUCCCAGCAGCACAACUUCUUUGGGCGUUCCAACGCGGCGCCCCCUA
rfam:Loxodonta africana unplaced genomic scaffold scaffold_75, whole genome shotgun sequence.